GAUGAAGAACGUAGCAAAAUGCGAUAAGUAAUGUGAAUUGCAGAAUUCAGUGAAUCAUCGAAUCUUUGAACGCACAUUGCGCCCGUCAGUAUUCUGGCGGGCAUGCCUGUUCGAGCGUCAUUUCAACCCUCAAGCACAGCUUGGUGUUGGGACUCGCGUUAAUUCGCGUUCCCCAAAUUGAUUGGCGGUCACGUCGAGCUUCCAUAGCGUAGUAGUAAAACCCUCGUUACUGGUAAUCGUCGCGGCCACGCCGUUAAACCCCAACUUCUGAAUGUUGACCUCGGAUCAGGUAGGAAUACCCGCUGAACUUAAGCAUAUCAAUAAGCGGAGGA
rnacentral:misc_RNA from 1 species